rnacentral:tRNA from 1 species
GGGGGUGUAGCCCAGUGGUAGAGCGCUCGCUUCGCAUGUGAGAGGCCUCGGGUUCAAACCCCGACAUCUCCA